GGCCACACCCCCUUUGCAUGUGAUGUCAUCAUGUGACAUAUCACAUGUAAAGGGUGUGUGACCUGGAGCUCUCAAGAGUCCUGAUACCUUCUGUGUAUAGAAAGCUAUUUCUAUGGCUUGGUUUGAAGAUCCUUUGGUGACUUUCAGGCCUCCUUCCAUCAACUGACCCCAAGAUGGCUUCCUACAAGUUUAAAACAAAUGCAAGAAUAGACAAACUUUAAAAAUCACUUAAUGAAAUACUGAGUGAAAGUACACACAGGAGCAAAGUAAAAACAGCACAGAAUGACACCACCAAAAUCUCCUCACAGCUAGUUAAUCCUACUCUAACUCUAACCAUUACACCACACUGGCACAAACAGUUUGCCAUUUAGGGUACAAACAGUAGCUUAGAGGAGGGGUGUUUUUGGAUAAAUGGUGUAGUGGUUAAACAAGCCCCCUUCUUGUGUGCCACAGUCCUGCUCUGGAUCUCCACCCCUCACCCCCGCAGCUAGUUUUUGUUAAAGAUAAAUUCCCAUUCUUAAGCAUACCUGUUGAUAGUGCAUUUCAGGUAAUGUAUGCUUUGGCUCCAAGCCUAUUGGUUUCAGUGCCUAACUCUUCAUCAGAACCAGCCUCCAGCCUGGGAAGCAGCCAUCCACCUUAGUGACCUUCAGCCAAAAAAAGGAGAGCUUUUGAAGGGCCGAGGAGGUGCCUUUUUUGCUGAAGCAGCCCAGAUAUUUCAAAGGAGUGCGUCAAUUAAUACAAUAUUUGUCAAAGGAAGAUUUGUUACACGGACAAUGGAGGGGGAAGAAAAGGAACAUUAAGUCCUGAAAGCAAAUCUCUCACCAGCUUCUGUCCCAUUCAGCUCAGUAUUUGUUCUCAUCACCAGCGUAUUAUUUUCCAUUAGGAGAUUACAGACGACAUGAGAUGGUAAUAAAAGAAACAGAUUCAUUGUUAUGUGCCUGACGGUGAACAUUUAGCUAAAUGGAUUCCUUUAUAUUGCCAGUGCUUUUCUUCAUAUUACAACGGAUGCUUUCAUUUAAA